UACGUAGGGUGCGAGCGUUAAUCGGAAUUACUGGGCGUAAAGCGUGCGCAGGCGGUUUUGUAAGCCAGAUGUGAAAUCCCCGGGCUUAACCUGGGAAUGGCAUUUGGGACUGCAAGGCUUGAGUGCGGCAGAGGAGACUGGAAUUCCUGGUGUAGCAGUGAAAUGCGUAGAUAUCGAGAGGAACACCUGCGGCGAAGGCGGGUUGCUGGGCUGACACUGACGCUGAAGCGCGAAAGCUAGGGGAGCGAACGGG
rnacentral:rRNA from 1 species